CUGAGGUGCAGGAGCGGAAAUAAUUCAAAUUGCCAGGAGUUUCUUUGUGUUUUUUGUGCCAUCCCAUCUCUUUCGAUCUUUUUUUCGUGCAUUCCAUACAUGUGUAUUGAUGACAAGCUGUGUGACAGGUGUUGUAGACGCUGGGAUACAGUGAUCAUUGAGAAAGGUAGGGGCCUUGCUCUGUGGAAGUCUGCAUUCUAGUGGCUGCCGCAGACACUUAUAAAAAUAAAUGUAAUUUUAGAGUCACAUGUGCCAUGCGGGAAGUGAAACAGGAUAGGAGACUGGGGGUUAAGAAGGACGCUCCAGAAGGCUUUACUGAGCAGGCUUCUUGCACCUGGGUGGCCUCCGCACUGCUUUGUACAACUACAUCUUUGCUAAGAAGUACCAGGGGAGCUUCAUCCUGAGGCUGGAGGACACAGAUCAGACUCGCCUUGUGCCUGGGGCAGCGGAGAAUAUUGAGGACAUGCUGGAGUGGGCAGGCAUCCCCCCUGAUGAGAGCCCCCGCCGGGGCGGUCCUGCUGGGCCCUACCAGCAAUCUCAGCGGUUGGAGCUGUACGCCCAGGCCACAGAAGCACUGCUGAAGACCGGAGCUGCUUACCCCUGUUUCUGCUCACCCCAGCGGCUGGAGCUCCUGAAGAAGGAAGCCUUGCGGAACCACCAGACGCCCCGGUAAGA
rnacentral:sRNA from 1 species